CACAGAAACCCCAAGACUUCCGUCCCCUCCUGUCUUCCUCCUGUGGAGUCUGGCAUGGGGCUGGGCACUGUGUGCCCAGUGGGCGACGACACUUUGAGCAACGCCAAGGCCACAGGUCCAGGCUGCAGGGAAAAGCCUUCAUGUAUUAGCAGGAAGUGAAGGGAAUAAGAGAAUUGGACGUUCAUUCACUUCCCCAGAAGGAACUUCAGAGUCCAGGGAGUCCGUGGGCUUCCGGAAACGCAGUCCCUGCUGUUGUUCCAGGCAGAGUCUGAAUGAAGCUGGGUUUGCCCCUUCCUGGUAGCCCAGGCUCCAAGGCCCCACAGGAGGAUGACGGCGGCAUACCUGUAGCCCCUGGGGGGCAGCAGGCAGGUGGCCGAGGGGAGCUGGCACCCUGGUCUGGAUGUCUGGAGCCCCAGCGAGGGCCAUGAAGGCCUCUCUCCUGCUCGGCAGGGGCCCUCCGGCCGGCCUGCCUGGCUGCCAUCUGUCCCCACCUCCCGUGCCUCCUGGCCCUUCACACUGUCUGAAUGUGCACGGCAUCGGGUCUGGUCUUGUGUUGGAGCCUUCAGUCCAGGCCACAGACCUCCUUCCCGAACAGUCUCCUGCAUUCCCUUCAUGCAAUUUUGCUGAUAUUCUGGUGCACGGUGCUGGGGGGCCUGGCGGUGCUGGGGGCCUGGCGGUGCUGGCUCUGCUUUCUAACGGUCUCCCUCUUCCCUCCCAGACUGAUGUCCUCAAGUGUGUGGUCAGCACAGACCCUGGCCUCCGCUCCCACUGGCUGGUGGCUGCACUCUGCAGCUUCGGCCGCUUCCUGAAGGCUGCCUUCUUCGUGCUGCUGCCAGAGAGAUGAGCUGCCCACCUGGCAGUGGCCGCAGCCUGGCCCUCUGGGCCCAACGCAGGAGGCCCUCAG
rnacentral:circRNA from 1 species